UCUCAGGGCGGGGUGAAAGUCCCCACCGGCGGUAAUCCGGCAGGGUCCGGAAAGCCCGCGAGCGUUUUUCCAUGGGGGAAAAUGCCGAUCCGGUGUAAAUCCGGAGCCGACGGUAACAGUCCGGAUGGAAGAGAU
rnacentral:ncRNA from 1 species